rnacentral:rRNA from 1 species
UACGUAGGGUGCGAGCGUUAAUCGGAAUUACUGGGCGUAAAGCGUGCGCAGGCGGUUUUGUAAGUCAGAUGUGAAAUCCCCGGGCUUAACCUGGGAACUGCGUUUGAAACUACAAGGCUAGAGUGUGGCAGAGGGGGGUGGAAUUCCACGUGUAGCAGUGAAAUGCGUAGAGAUGUGGAGGAACACCGAUGGCGAAGGCGACCCCCUGGUUGGAUACUGACGCUGAGACGCGAAAGCGUGGGGAGCAAACAGG